rnacentral:rRNA from 1 species
AAUCAACGCUGGCGGCGUGCCUAACACAUGCAAGUCGAACGAGAAAGUCCCGCAAGGGAUGAGUACAGUGGCGUACGGGUGAGUAACACGUGGAUAACCUGCCUUCAAAUGGGGAAUAACCCUGGGAAACCGGGGCUAAUACCGCAUAACACUUGGGAGCUUCGGCUCCAGAGUUGAAAUCCGCAAGGGGUUUGAAGAGGGUGCCGCGGCUGAUUAGCUAGUUGGCGGGGUAAUGGCCCACCAAGGCUUUGAUCAGUAGCCGGCCUGAGAGAGCGGACGGCAACACUGGAACUGCAACACGGUCCAGACUCCUACGGGAGGCAGCAGUGGGGAAUUUUGCGCAAUGGGGGAAACCCUGACGCAGCAACGCCGCGUGGACGAUGAAGCUUCUUGGAGUGUAAAGUCCUUUCGGCAGGGAAGAAUCCCGCAAGGGUUGACGGUACCUGAAGAAGAAGCCCCGGCUAACUCCGUGCCAGCCGCCGCCGUAAGAC